GAUGAACGCUGGCGGCGUGCCUAAUACAUGCAAGUCGAGCGAACGGACGAGAAGCUUGCUUCUCUGAUGUUAGCGGCGGACGGGUGAGUAACACGUGGAUAACCUACCUAUAAGACUGGGAUAACUUCGGGAAACCGGAGCUAAUACCGGAUAAUAUUUUGAACCGCAUGGUUCAAAAGUGAAAGACGGUCUUGCUGUCACUUAUAGAUGGAUCCGCGCUGCAUUAGCUAGUUGGUAAGGUAACGGCUUACCAAGGCAACGAUGCAUAGCCGACCUGAGAGGGUGAUCGGCCACACUGGAACUGAGACACGGUCCAGACUCCUACGGGAGGCAGCAGUAGGGAAUCUUCCGCAAUGGGCGAAAGCCUGACGGAGCAACGCCGCGUGAGUGAUGAAGGUCUUCGGAUCGUAAAACUCUGUUAUUAGGGAAGAACAUAUGUGUAAGUAACUGUGCACAUCUUGACGGUACCUAAUCAGAAAGCCACGGCUAACUACGUGCCAGCAGCCGCGGUAAUACGUAGGUGGCAAGCGUUAUCCGGAAUUAUUGNNGCGUAAGCGCGCGUAGGCGGUUUUUUAAGUCUGAUGUGAAAGCCCACGGCUCAACCGUGGAGGGUCAUUGGAAACUGGAAAACUUGAGUGCAGAAGAGGAAAGUGGAAUUCCAUGUGUAGCGGUGAAAUGCGCAGAGAUAUGGAGGAACACCAGUGGCGAAGGCGACUUUCUGGUCUGUAACUGACGCUGAUGUGCGAAAGCGUGGGGAUCAAACAGGAUUAGAUACCCUGGUAGUCCACGCCGUAAACGAUGAGUGCUAAGUGUUAGGGGGUUUCCGCCCCUUAGUGCUGCAGCUAACGCAUUAAGCACUCCGCCUGGGGAGUACGACCGCAAGGUUGAAACUCAAAGGAAUUGACGGGGACCCGCACAAGCGGUGGAGCAUGUGGUUUAAUUCGAAGCAACGCGAAGAACCUUACCAAAUCUUGACAUCCUUUGACAACUCUAGAGAUAGAGCCUUCCCCUUCGGGGGACAAAGUGACAGGUGGUGCAUGGUUGUCGUCAGCUCGUGUCGUGAGAUGUUGGGUUAAGUCCCGCAACGAGCGCAACCCUUAAGCUUAGUUGCCAUCAUUAAGUUGGGCACUCUAAGUUGACUGCCGGUGACAAACCGGAGGAAGGUGGGGAUGACGUCAAAUCAUCAUGCCCCUUAUGAUUUGGGCUACACACGUGCUACAAUGGACAAUACAAAGGGCAGCGAAACCGCGAGGUCAAGCAAAUCCCAUAAAGUUGUUCUCAGUUCGGAUUGUAGUCUGCAACUCGACUACAUGAAGCUGGAAUCGCUAGUAAUCGUAGAUCAGCAUGCUACGGUGAAUACGUUCCCGGGUCU
rnacentral:rRNA from 1 species